rnacentral:lncRNA from 10 species
GUCUUCCUCCUGCUCUGUCCAGGAGGAAGAAGUGCCUCCUUCCUCUUUGCUUUCUGCCUGAAUUGUAACUUUCCUGAGGCCUCUCCAGCCUGCUUCCUUUCCAGCCUGAGGUACUGUAAGUCAAUUAAACCUCUUUUCUUUAUAAAUUACCCAGUUUCAAGUAGUUCCUUAUAACAGUGUGAGAAUGGACUAACACAAUAACCUUUUAAUAAUAUCCUGAAAAAGAGUUCAGAAAAUUCCAUAUGGAAUUUUUCUGUCUACAUCCCAUUCAGAAAAAAUAAAAUCACUAAACAUCCUUCUUUUUCUUUUGAUUUUCAUAAAAACAACUAGUUUUGUUUGGUAAAAGGAUAGUCAUUUUUUGUGCUUUUUAUAUUUUUAUUUUUAUUUUUAAAAUAACUUUACCUUUUAUUUUAGAUUUAGGGGGUACCAUGUGCAGGUUUGUUACGUGGGUAUAUUGUAUGAUGCUGAGGUUUGGAGUGCAAACAAUCUUGUCACACAGAUAGUAAGCAUAGUACCCAAUAGUUAGUUUUUUAACCCUUUCUCCCCUUCGUCUUUCUUCCCUCCAGUUGUCCCCAAUAUCUAUCAUUGCCACCUUUUUUUUUCCAGGAGGACCCAAUGUUUAAUUCCUGCUUGUAAGUGAGAACAUGCAGUAUUUGCUUUUCUAUUCCUGCAUGAAUUCAGUUAGGAUAAUGACCUCCAGCUGCAACCAUGUUGCUGCAAAGUACAUGAUUUCAUUUUUCUUUAGACUGUCUAGUAUUCCAUGGUGUAUAUGUACCACAUUUUCAUUAACCAAUCCAGCAUUUGGUGGGCAUCUAGUUUGAUUUCAAGUCUUUGCUAUUGUGAAUGAAUAUAUGAGUGCAUGUGUCUUUUUGGCUGAACAAUUUAUUUUCUUGUGGAUAUAUGCCCAAUAAUGGAACUUCUGGGUUGAAUGAUAGGUCACGUUCUCUAAAGAAUCUCCAAACUGCUUUCCACAGUGGCUGAAUUAAUUUACAUUCUCACCAACUGUGUAUAAGUGUUCUCCUUUCUCUGAAACCUCACCAGCAUUUGUUAUUUUUUUUUUGACUCUUUAAUAAUAGCCAUCUAACUGGUGUGAGAUGGUAUCUCAUCGUGGUUUUCAUUUGCAUUUCUCUGAUGUUUAGCGAUGUGGAACAUUUUUAAAUAUGUUUCUUGUCUACUUAUAUAUAUUCUUUUGAAAGUUAUCUGUUCCUGCCUUUUCCUCAUUUUUUAAUGGGGUAAUUUGUUUUUUGCUUGUUGAAUUGUUUUAGUUCCUUAUAGAUUCUGGAUAUUAGACCUUUGUCAGAUGCAUAGUUUUAAAAUAUUUUCUCCCAUUCUGAAAGUUGCCUGUUUUCUCUGUUGAUAGUUUCUUCUGCUGUGCAGAAACUCUUUAGCUUAAUUAGGACCCACCUGUCAAUUUUUGUUUUUGUUGCAAUUGAGUUUGAGGACUUAGUCAUAAAUUCUUUCCCAAGGCUGAUGUCCAGAAUUAUGUUUCCUAGGUUUUCUUCUAGGAUUCUUUUAUUUGAGGAUUUACAUUUGAAUCUUUAAUCCCUCGAGUUAAUUUUUGAAUAUGGCGAAAAGUAAGAGUACAAUUUUAUUCUUCUGCAUAUGGCUAAUCAGCUAUUCCAGUAUCACUUAUUAAAUAGGCAGUACUUUCCCCAUUUUUUUUGUCCACUUUGUCAAAGAUCAGAUGACUGUCAGUGUGCAGCUUUAUUUCUGGGUUCUCUGUUCUGAUCCAUUGGUCUGUGUGUCUGUUUUUGUACCAGUACUAUGCUAUUUUGGUUUCUGUAGCCUUAUAGUAGAGUUUUAAGUUGGUUAAAUGUGAUCCCUUCAGCUUUGCUCUUUUUGCUUACGAUUGCUUUGGCUAUCCGUGCUCUUUUUUGACUCAUAUUUUAGAAUAGUUUUUUCCUAGUUCUGUCAAAAAUGACUUUGAUAGUUUGAUACAAAUAGCAUUGAAAUUGCAGAUUGCUUUCAGCCUUAUGGCCAUGUUAAUAAUUUUUAUUCUUCUAAUCCCUGAGCAUGGAACGUUUUUCCAUUUGUUUGUAUCAUCUAUUGAUUUCAUUAAGUGGUGUUUUGUAGUUCUCCUUGUAGAGAUCUUUUACCUCCUUGGUUAGAUGUAUUCCUAGGAUUUUGUGUGUGUGUGUGUGUGUGUGUGUGUGUGUGUGUGUGUGUGUGUCUAUUGUAAAUGGGUUUGUGUUCUUGAUUUGGCUUUC